GAAGGUUCCACAUUCCAGUUCUUAGAGGAAGUCAAGCUCUAAAGCCUGGUGCAGGGACACCAGGUCUCCAUGGUUUGUGAUCCUCCAGAAGGGCAUGUUGUGCUGGAAGAGAAGCAAGGCUAGUUAGCUCAGCUUCUGGGACAGCUUACACCCCUCCUCCAUAGACAUCGAGGCUCUUGGUAACCCUCUACCCCUGCCCAGCUCACAGGACUGAAGAAUCAAGUCAUGUGUAAUAACACCAUCCUGAUGUGAGGAAUUCUGAGUGCUGAGGACUUGGCUACAUGGACUCACCCCCGGCCCACCCCCGGGGUCUUGCAGAGUAUCCUUUCUAGCUUAGGAGUGAACUGCUGAAGCUCAAAGCUCCUCUUUCUCAUCUCCAGACUGAGAAGCCACUGAUGUUUCCCCAAGGUGAAUCAAGCAGUGUAGGAGAACGGAAGUUUCAGUGGCUAACAUGGAAAAGCAAACCUCUCUAACUGCUCUACUAAGUGGAAAAUGAAAAUUUAUGAAAUAACGAUGUCAACUGUGUCAAUCGUAUAGUUCACUAGCCACUGUGGCUUCUAUGAACUAGGUGAAGAAAAUCAGUCACAGCUGGUAAGCCAUGGCACUUAAUCUAAAAAUAAAGCAAUAAAGGCAAAGGAGAGAACUUCAGAUGCCCAUGCAACAGAUGAGCAAGCGCAAAUGAGAUCCAGUGACCUAAGACCCUUCCUCCACACACCUGCCUGCCAUCUGCAAGAAAGGAACUAUAAAACACACAAAGAUGAGGCCAGCAAGAUGGCACAGUGAAUAAAGACGCUUCCUGCCAAGCCUGGGGAUGGCCUAGCUUGUUCUAGGAUUGGAAAACACCAUGAGAAGAUGAGAUAUAAAGACCUUUUCCAUACCGAGACUGGAUGAGAAGCAAGGACUUGAGCGCAGUUCCUAACCAGGAGUCCGUCAGCACCUCGAUCUCUGCUCUGAGUCUCUGCAGUGCUUCCUUCCUCUGGGGGCUGAGGAGGCCUUUCAGAAAAGCAGACCUACUUGUUAUCUGACAACAUGAACUUGCUAUGAUGGUCAAUUUGAUCAUUAGCUUGAUGCGAUUUAGGAUCACCAUAGAAACAAACCUCUGGUCACAUCUGUGAGGGAUCAUCAAAACUAGAUUACAGAGGUAAGAAGACCACCCUAAAUGGAGGUGGCACCAUUCCAUGGGCUGGGGUCCUGGACUGAACAAAAAGGAGAAAGCAAGCUGAGCACCAGUCCUCUUCCAUCUUUGUUUACUGACUGCGGACUGAGUGUGAUGGGGUGCCUCAUGUUCCUGCCACUGUAUCUUGACUACAGUAGUGGGCUGUGAACCAAAACAAGCUUUUCCUUCCUUCAGCUGCUUUGUCAGGCACUGUGCUGGAGACAAGUAACCAAUGUACUUAUGCACAAUAGGAAGGAGCAACUUCUCCAAGGCCGACUGUGUGCACCCCCAUGUUUUAGAAAACUUUGAGAAUGGUUUUACUCAGACGUGACUCUGUGGUAAAACGUCUGCUGUCCUACCAGCACAUCACAACAAGGGCAGCCGAUGGAAACGUCCUGAUUAGGUUCUGAACAAGCUCCUUCCUUCCUACCAAUGGGUGCUAUCUACAGACCGAUGGAACACACCUGAAUAGCAUCAGUCUACAACAUAACACGGAGAACCAUGCAGGGACAAAUGACUGUUAGAACAGUUCUUAUCUAUCUCUAAAGACAAAGAACAAAGGGAGGUUACCUAGGAUUCCACAGAUAGUAGGAAUGCCUAGGGUUGGGGAUCCUUUCCCAGCUGAAUUCCCCAGUGACAGCACUGUACUUCUGCCUGCAUGGGAACGUUUCAGCCAGGAUUCCAGAGUGAAAGACCAACCCCUGUACUAUAUUCACUUCUGAAGCAACUCCAGCAACAGCAGACUCACGCACUGCUCUUAGAGUCUAGAUUGAUUCUGCAUAAAACAAAAUAGGUCAUGGAGCUGGAGAG